rnacentral:misc_RNA from 1 species
AAAAUUUGACUAACAAUGCCCCCCCACCACAUUGUAACUUAUGACUGA